GAUGAAGAACGUAGUGAAAUGCGAUAAGUAGUGUGAAUUGCAGAAUUCAGUGAAUCAUCGAAUCUUUGAACGCACAUCGCGCCCCAUGGUAUUCCGUGGGGCAUGCCUGUUCGAGCGUCAUUUACCCCCUCAAGCUCCGCUUGGUGUUGGGCGUCUGUCCCGCUUCGCGCGCGGACUCGCCCCAAAGGUAUUGGCAGCGGUCGUGCCAGCUUCUCGCGCAGCACAUUGCGCUUCUCGAGGCACCGGUGGGCCCGCGUCCAUCAAGCUCACCCCCCCAGUUUGACCUCGGAUCAGGUAGGGAUACCCGCUGAACUUAAGCAUAUCAAUAAGCGGAGGA
rnacentral:misc_RNA from 1 species